rnacentral:rRNA from 1 species
CCAGACUCCUACGGGAGGCAGCAGUGGGGGAUAUUGCACAAUGGGGGGAACCCUGAUGCAGCGACGCCGCGUGGGUGAAGGAGCGUUUCGGCGCGUAAAGCCCUAUCGGCAGGGAAGAAGGAGGACGGUACCUGACUAAGAAGCCCCGGCUAACUACGUGCCAGCAGCCGCGGUAAUACGUAGGGGGCAAGCGUUAUCCGGAUUUACUGGGUGUAAAGGGAGCGUAGACGGCAUGGCAAGUCAGAUGUGAAAGCCCGGGGCUCAACCCCGGGACUGCAUUUGAAACUGUCAGGCUGGAGUGCAGGAGAGGUAAGUGGAAUUCCUAGUGUAGCGGUGAAAUGCGUAGAUAUUAGGAGGAACACCAGUGGCGAAGGCGGCCUGCUGGACGAUGACUGACGUUGAGGCUCGAAAGCGUGGGGAGCAAACAGGAUUAGAUACCCCAGUAACG